rnacentral:lncRNA from 1 species
GUCACCGGGCGGGCGGGAACGGUGCCGCGAUGGGACACUGCGGGCGGCUGGGCUUAGGCGCGCGCGUCGGGAGGGGCUGAAGUCCAGGCGGAGGCGGGCGCGAGGCUGCGGGACGGGUGGACGUUCCCGCCCAGCGCCUUGGCCACGCUGGCGAGGCCCUUCCUCCCUCGGGGAGCCCGGCUCUGCCGGUCUGUACGAGGAUCUGGUCUAGAGGCUCGGGGGUGCGCGGGGUGGGGAGUCGGGGGCGGGCGGGGAAGGACCUGUCCCCGGGACCCCAGGGUGCCAAAGAAGGAGAAAGGGAACACGAGCUGGGAGGACGCAUCAACAGGUGGCGAAGGGGCCAUCGUGUGCUGGGUGUCAUGGAUAUAGCAGUGAAGGAAGCUGACGAGCACCUCCCCUUGUGGAGCUUGUGUCCUCAUGAGGACCUUCAGGCUCAAAGAUGUCACCUGAUGUACUCCGGAUCCCAGGCUGUCAAGGACUAAGAGUCCAAACGUAGAUCCAGGAGCACGGUUUUAAGGAUCAGUCUCGGUCCCAGAGCUCCAGAGAGGCAGCUGUGACACAGUGGCAGUGGCAGGAGAGAGGGGCCAUAUUCAAGGGGAGAGAGAGUGGAAAUGGUACAAGACGGACAGAGGGUGAGUGUGGAGCUUCAGGACCCCCGUGACCUGGUGAAGAGAGUCUGGCCGUAAAGCAUGAUGGAUAGACGAAUUCGGUUGAUCGGGGACGUUCCGCUCUGCUGGAGAUGGAGAUCUGACCCAGGAGGGGUCCCACCCGGGACCUGCACUGUUGUGGGUGGGCGAGGUCUGGGGGACUGAGACGGGACCCUGUGUGUUGAUGCCCAAAUGCACAAUAAAGGCAGGUGGAUAUGCACGUCACUGCCUCUGCCUGGGGCAUCCCCGUUUCCCUCCUGAGGUCAACAGAUAGAACCUGGGGUUUGGAGUCGCACAGACCUGGAUUCCAAACCAUGCUCUACCUUCUACUCAUAACACAGCCUUGGCCACACGACUUGCCCAUCUCUAAAAGGGGCAGCAAUGCUUGCCUCCAUAGACUCUGGGGUGAGAAUUAGGAGGCUGCCUGAGGGAAGCGCAGGGUCAGGACCUGAAAGAUGGGUCAGAUUUGAGACUUGGUGAUCACCUACCAGAGGCCUCUACCAAGGAUCACCUCCUCCAGGAAGCCUGCUUGGCAUCCAUCCCACCAGCAAAGCUGCCCUCUUCCCUGGGUCGCAGCUGCCUCCCAUGUGGCUUUUGUCUAGUUCAGCGCUGCCUUUCUGGUGCCUAGUCCUGUCUUGCCACUCGAAAUGGCGGACGUUGAUUGAGCCCUCGAACCUCCCUGACACCCGGCCAGGUGCCUGUGUGUUGCUCCCUCACGUGAUCCUCAGAUCUAGCCUGGUAUCUGCCUUUCAUAGAAGAGUCCUGUCAGCCGUGGAGGCAGCGUGAACUUGAGCCCGAGCAGCCUGCCAGCCCCCAGCCCCCGGCUGCGGCUCCAGGAGAGAGCUCUGUGCCAGCUGGGCCAGCCUCACCCAGUUCUUCAGUCCGGGAGCCUAGCACCGGGCCUGGCACACAGGAGCCUCCGUGAGUGUGCGAGGCUGUUCUGUUGGCACCUGCUGCCUUGGUCAUCACUGACUAGAGGAGGUGGCCCAUGGUGCCCAGCCCCCUGAAGGGACAGACCAUGUCUGACAGAAUGUUCCCAGUCUGCAGCAAAAUGGAGAAGAAAAGCCAGGACAUUGCAGAGAGAUUGUAAAGCUUCAUCUAGUUGAUGUCAAGAAAUACCCCUUUUCUCCCUGAGAGCGUCCUUUACAUUCUUGCAUUGUUAUUCAAAAUGCUUUUUCUGAAUAAAAAUGUCUUAGAUGAAGUGCUG